ACGAAAACACAUCAUAUUAAUGGAUCAACUGCUGAAAAGGAAAUGCAACUAAAUAAAAACCCCUUCGAAGAGUGCCUUUUAGCAUUUGGCUCCAAGUAAGCCCAAUUCAUAACUUGGAUUUGAAAACAUUCAGCAUACAAAAGAAACAUAAUUCCUUAUACCAUGCAUUGCGGAUCCGACCAACCUCACAAUGGCUCAUCAAUUAAACGGAUAAGUUGCUAGGCCUUAAAGGCCAGCCAAGCCAAACAGAUGGUCUUUGCGUAGGACUUCAAACCUCAAUGCCCAAAAGGCAUAAAGCCUGGAAGGAAGCAUCCAAAGGCCUGGACUCGACAUCGAGUCCUUAACAUUACAGAUGGCCCUCUUGCAUUUAACAAUAAUCAACAGCCCUUUAUAAUACUAAUAUUAAUCACUUUGAGAUAACAACUAAACUCAUGCUUCAACUAAUUAUAAAAGUUAACAUACAUCAUUUAUGCUACCAGCUAUUCAGCAAAUUCGAAUUGAGAUGAACAUGCUCCAAACAUUAGCAGAACCCCUGAGGCCAAUAUACACUCACCGGGGUCUUAAUAACUCACCUCAGAUCCUCAACCACAUAGAUUUAUUUUAACGAGUGAGCAGAGAAGAAUGACAGACACGUAUGUAAGCUUUGAAUCUAGCUUCAUUAAACAUUCAUAUUUGUUAGGGUAAAUUCUAAGGCUAACCCCUGUUAAUCUUAACACAGUACUAUCAAUAUAACUUCUAAAAAGAUGCACCCAAAACACAUUGAAUCAACAAGUGCCAAGAAGAACACAAUUAUAAAUAUCCAAAAAAUUUACAAGUUAACAGCACAAUCCCACUUAUACAUGCCAAAAUAGAAGGGAACUUCCAGUUUUAGUCGUGGCUGAGUGAGGUCUCAGCAUCCGAUCAAGAAGAUGCUACAACUGGUUAUACUUAAGUUAUCAAACUAGCAUAGACAAUAAACCAAAACACAGUAUGACUAUAUAGAUAAUUAAACAGCAAGGGAUCUACCCUUUACAAUUUCAUAACUCGAAUUACAUGUCUCACACAAAGCUUAACCCAAGCUUCAUUUCUAUUUUUUCAUACACUUCACUUAUCUCAUUCAUAAAACAAAGUCCAUAACUUCAGCUUAUCAUUUAGUGAAUUCUGAAGAAAUACCUGGAAGUAAAAUGAAACAAAAGAAGUGAGGAUUCUGCAACAGAAAAGCAGCCAUCAGACAACUGCAAAACUAGUUCGACCAAUUUGAGUUUUGGAAACAAUGAGAAAAUCAACUUCACUCGAGCAAACACCAAGGCCAUCCCCAAAAUCAAAAUCCAAACAACCAGUUUCAAACCAUUUGAGCAAUAUUCACCAUUAAACCUUUUCAAAAAGUGAAGAACUUAAGAAAUCACUAGAAAUUUUUUAUGGAACAGCAGCCCUCUCAGCUAUUUUGUAUUUCUCUGAUUUUUCUCUUCUUAAAAACUUACUUGAAAUGCAAGGAAAAGCUCCAUUUAUAGGCAAGGAAAGUAGGGUAAACAACAAGUUUCAGUUUUGCAUUAUUGCCCUUUUUGAAUUUUCGUUUUUGCCUAGAUGGCCUUAAUUAGAAAUCUGAAUAUCAAUUUUAACCAUCCACCCAGCUUCUAGGAAGCUUCCUAAUUGGUUAUUUGAGAGAUUCUCUCAAUCAAUUACCUAAAUUACCCUUCGAAUCCUUUAUUUUUACUCUUAGCAACCAGACAAAUCAAACCUGACGCAAAUCUCCGAAUAGAGACGGGGAUCUUAAUGCCCUCAAAUCUAACUUACUACAGGGCCUAAAACUAAUCACAAACCAGCCCAGUAACGAAUCAAGCAAAGGCUGACAAGAGCCCAAAAUAAUGAACAACUCUGAAUUGAAUACAACAGGAACCCAAAUCAAACAAAGACAAGUUCCAAUAAAGUAUUAAUCUAAUUACAUGAUUGAAAAUCUUAAAAAUUACUGAUUUUUAUUAUACAGAAAAUAAUUUGACUCACAAGAACAUAUGAAAACCAUAGAAAAAAUAAACAGAGGACAAGAAGAAAAGAAAUAAAGAGGGAAAGUACUGAUGCAAUCCGUCAUGGAUCGAUGAAGAGGAUGAACUUGGCCAAAUGCUCUUGGCCCGAUCCGGGACGAAAAAAUCUCGGCACGAGCCAAAAUUAUCGUUAAUCGAUUAUUCUAAACCGGAACAAUCUCUUAACGACAGUUUUGAGUCAAGUGGCGUCUUAAAACGUUAUUUUUUCUUCUGAUUUUCGAAUCCAAACUUGAGGUGAAGAUUGGGAAUUUUGGGGAGAUUGGCACCAGAUUAAUAUUUGCAGAGGUAGGGGAUAAAUGGUGAGAGUUUUAGAGUGAUUCAGAAUUUUUUUCCUUUAAAAAUGGUGGAACUUAGAGUUGCACUAGGGUUGAGAAAGGUGGAAGAGACGAGGAAGAUGAAAGAUGAGGAACUGAUGAGUCUGGUCUCUGAAGAGAAUUUUGAUAUAUUAAUGGUAAU
rnacentral:lncRNA from 1 species